ACAGAGCCCUGAUUGGUGCGUUUACAAACCUUUAGCUAGACAGAGUGCUGAUUGGUGCCUUUACAAUCCUUUAGCUAGAGGGAAAAGUUCUUCAAGUCCCCACCCGUCCCAGAAGCCCAGCCGGCUUCACCUCUCACUGGCACUCGCCACAGGCAGUCAGGCAGCCCAGCGGGAGCUCAUCCCCUAAUCAAGCCCAGCAGGCUCCGGCAGGCCACGCCCAGUGCGGGGCCCGCGGAGCUCGCACCCACCCGGAACCCGCGCUGGCGCUCCGGCCGCGCGCAGGCCCCGCUUCUGCAGGCGCCUCUCCCUCUGCACCUCCCCGCGAGGAGAGGGAGCGGGCUCCGGCCUCGGCCAGCCCCAGAGAGGGGCGCCCACAGCGCAGCGGCGGGCUGAAGGGCUGCUCAAGCGCGACCAGAGCGGACGCCGAGGCUGAGGAGGCCCUGAGAGCGAGGAGAGCGAGGAGAGCGAGCGAGGGUUGCUAGCACGUUGUCACCUCUCACAAUGACUGUCUUCCUCAAGUGUCAGUUCCUCCUUGUUCACUGUCUCGACUACCACCAUAUAAGGCAUGCUUCCUCCUCUGCAAUGAUUGCAAGUUUCCUGAGGCCUCCUCAGCCAUGCAGAACUAGACACUGUAUCGUCAUGUUGUCCAGCCUGGUCUCAAACUCCUGGACUCAAACAAUCCUCCUUCCUCAGCCUUCCAAAGUACUGGUGUGUCUGGAAUUGGUGGGUUCUUGAUCUCACUGACUUCAAGAAUGAAGCCGCGGACCCUCGCAGUGAGUGUUACAGUUCUUAAAGGCGGCAUGUCCGGAGUUUGUUCCUUCUGAUGUUCGGAUGUGUUCGGAGUUUCUUCCUUCUGGUGGGUUCGUGGUCUCACUGGCUCAGGAGUGAAGCUGCAGACCUCUGCGGUGAGUGUUACAGCUCUUAAGGCGGCAUGUCUGGAGUUGUUUGUUCCUCCCGGUGGGUUCGUGGUCUUGCUGGCUUUAGGAGUGAAGCUGCAGACCUUCGAGGUGAGUGUUACAGCUCAUAAAGGCAGUAUGGACCCAAAGAGUGAGCAGCAGCAAGAUUUAUUGCAAAGAGUGAAAGAACAAAGCUUCCACAGUGUGGAAGGGGACCCGAGUGGGUUGCCACUGCUGUCUCAGGCAGCCUGCUUUUAUUCUCUUAUCUGGCCCCAUCCACAUCCUGCUGAUUGGUACAGCCGAGUGGUCUGUUUUGACAGGGCACUGAUUGGUGCGUUUACAAUCCCUGAGCUAGACACAAAGGUUCUCCAUGUCCCCACCAGAUUAGCUAGAUACAGAGUGUCCACACAAAGGUUCUCCAAGUCCCCACCAGAGUAGCUAGAUAUAGAGUGUCAAUUGGUGUAUUCACAAACCCUGAGCUAGACACAGGGUGCUGAUUGGUGUGUUUACAAACCUUGAGGUAGAUAAAGAGUGCCGAUUGGUGUAUUUACAAUCCCUGACUAGACACAAAGGUUCUCCACGUCCCCACCAGAUUAGCUAGAUACAGUGUCGACAUGAAGGUUCUCCAAGUCCCCACCAGAGUAGCUAGAUACAGAGUGUCGUCACGAAGGUUCUCCAAGUCCCCACCAGAGUAGCUAGAUACACAGUGUCGAUUGGUGCAUUCACAAACCCUGAGCUAGACACAGGGUGCUGAUUGGUGUGUUUACAAACCAUGAGCUAGAUACAGAGUGCCGAUUGGUGUAUUUACAAUCCCUGAGCUAGAAAUAAAGGGUUCUCCACCUCCCCACCAGACUCAGGAGCCCAGCUGGCUUCAGCCAGUGGAUCUCACACUGCGGCUGCAGGUGGAGCUGCCUGCCAGUCCCACGCCAUGCACCCACACUCCUCAGCCCUUGAGUGGUCGAUGGGACUGGGUGCCACGGAGCAGGGGGCCUCCGUGUUGGGGAGGCACGGGUUGCACAGGAGCCCAUGGAGGUGGGGGGAGGCUCAGGCAUGGUGGGCUGCAGGUCCUGAGCCUUGCCCAACGGGAAGGCAGCUAAGGCCCGGGGAGAAGUGGAGCGCAGCACUGGUGGGCCGGCACUGCUGGGGGACCCAGCACACCCUCCGCAGCUGCUGGCCCGGGUGCUAAGCUCCUCGUUGCCUGGGGCCGACAGGGCCAGCCAGCCGCUCUGAGUGCGGGGCCUGCCGAGCCCACACCCACCUGUAACUCGCGCUGGCCCGCAAGCACCGCGCGCAGCCCCGGUUCCCGCUUGGGCUUCUCCCUCCACACCUCCCUGCAAGCUGACGGAGCCAGCUCCGGCCUCAGCCAGCCCAGGAAGGGGCUCCCACAGUGCAGCAGUGGGCUGAAGGGCUCCUCAAGCGAGGCCAGAGUGGGUGCCAAGGCCAAGGAGGCGCCGAAAGCGAGCCAGGGCUGUGAGGGCUGCCAGCAUGCUGUCACCUCUCACUGGGGUUAUAGCUGUGAGCCACUGUGUCGGGUCAGAAACCAUUUUUUUUUUUAAGCUGCUUUGUAUUUAAGGUUGGGGAAGUCAAUCCUCAGAUAAGAAGCAACUAGUUGUAACAUCCUAUCAGUAUUUGAGUGAAGAACUGGGAUUAGAACCCAGGAUAUUCUUAAAUAAGGACAUUUUCUCCUUUAUUUUAUUCCCUUCACUGGCCCACUUUUUAUUCACCAUCGAGCAAAUUUUCUUUAAAAGCCUGUGUUUGUAAAAGGAACAGGGUCUGCAAAUAUUUAAUUUUUAUUCUUCUCUCAAAUCCUCCACACCUUUAUUUUGAUGUCAUAAAUAUCCGUUCCUUAACAGGUCUCUUGAUAAGAAAAAUGGGGAAAUAUUUGCUCAGCUAGACUGAUCAUCACCUAUCAUUAGGAAAUUCACAUGCAUCGACACACUACACAGUAAACUUUCCUUUUUCUUUCUUCUACACCUCACCUCAUCACACAGAAACAUACACAAUGAUUCACCAUAACCAAAACCUUGUAUGUCAACAACCAACCUAUUCAAGCAACUAAUGUCCUCCAACACAGUCUAAAUAUGCAAACUCUCUAAAGUUCCUUCAGGAAAUAAGAUGUAUAAAGCAGAGACAACACAAAAUGUAUAUAUAAUCAGAAUCCAAUUAUAAAACUGUACACAUAUGUUUAUGUUAGAUGUUUAAAGAUCCACUGUGUGAAAGAACAACCUGGUUUAGGGGAGCAGAAACAGAGAUGUCUUCUCCUAGGCCCCUUAUUUAACCCGUGUAUCUUUAAUUUCCAUCCCAAGAUCCUAAAAUCUCACAAUAGUCUCACAUUCUUUUAAAGUCCAACCACUGAUUUUCUAUGCUCAUCUCUGCAGUGGACUAAAUGUUUAUUUCCUCCCAGAAAUUAUAUAUUGAAAUCCUAACUGCCAUGGUAAUGAUAUUAGGAGGUGGGGUUUUGGGGAGGUGAUUAAGUCAUUAAGGCAGGGUCCUCAUGAAUGACUUUAGUGUUGUUAUAAAAGAGGUCCAAGAAAGCACCCUCACCCCUUCCACCACUGGAGGACAUAGACAGAGGGCAUCAUCUAUGAACUAGAAAGUGGGCCUUCACCAGGCCCUAAAUCUGCCAGCACCUUGAUCUGGAACUCCUUAGCUUCUGAAAUUGUGAGAAAUAAAUUUCUGUUGUUUAUAAACUACUCAGUUUAUGCUACUUUUUUUUUUAUGGCAUCCCAGACAGACUAGGCAAUCUGAUCAAACCUCUCUUGAGUAGCUCCUAUUGUAUACAAGCCUUAUACUCUGUCAGGGAUGUGGGGAACCUACCUAAUAUGGAAGGUUCUAAACUAUAGACAAUUAUGCAUCAAAGCUCACCACAAACUUUGGCAUUCAUGGCAUAGUUUAAAGAAGUCAUAAUAAAAAAUUUAGAAAUAAUAUUUUAUAGGGCAUUUUAUUUUUAAAUCAAAUCUACUCAUCUCUUGACUUUAUAUUUUAUUAUUGGCUUAAUUUUCAAGAAAGCUAAAUAGUAGUCUUUGGUCCAGCAAUCAUUUUUUGUUAUAAUUUUAUUCUGAUUCUUUCCAUUUCAAAGCUAAUAAUACAUAUUUCAUAAUGCACUACCCUUUUAAAAUAUUAGCAUGCAGAAAAUGUACUUUACUAUUUUAAUUAAUGUACCUGUCAUAUUCUGAAUAUUCUGAUACGCUUGCAAGGGGUGUGAAAUAUUAGGAACAUAAAUAAAAAUAUUCAUUGUUGCAUUUCAUUAGUGCUCAGACAAUGAAUAGAAAAGGAAAUUUCCAUAAAUUGAUGUUAAAAUUUAGGGUGAUUUUUUAACUGAAGCCUGUAAUUUUCUAUCUUCAAUAUUCCUUUGAUAAAAUAAUUUAUUUAUUGAUAAUGACCAAAUUGAAAAGUUGAGAACUACAGGAACUAGUAAGAAAGAAUUGUGUGUGUGUGUGUGUGUGCAUAUAUGUGAGUGUGUGUGUGUCUGUGUGUGCUUAUAUAUCUGUGUGUAUUUGGGAUGACCUCUAUCAUAUGAGAGGUUUUCUGUGUGAAGUUAUAGUAGAGAUUAUGGCAUGGCUGGUACUCCAACCACUAGAGGCUCCCUGUGGAGCUGCUCCUUCUACCUGGAGCUGGGAAAAUGAAAAGAAGUCCAGACUGGAGUCCUUGCUGCCUUAUACUGCUGGGGAGAUGCAGACUCCACCUCAAAGCAGGAAAGGCACUUUAUUUUCCCUUCAUCCACCUAUGGUAGACACUAAGGGGAAACCAGCUGGCAAAGAAGCCUGGAGUCUCAAUGCCAGAACUACAAGACAGAGUAUAGAAGGGUGAUUUCAGAUAUGUGACAUAUCAGGGAAGUGGCUGGCUCAGAGAUUCAAGAUACAAGAAGAGACAUGUAGAGGGAUGGGUACUUCUCCACCGUUUGAGAUUAUUGAACUUGGAAACAAAUGUUCAACAGGAUGAUG